GAUUAAAAUAAUUAAGGGCACACAAAGGAUGCCUAGGUAGUAAGAGCCGAUGAAGGACGUGGUAAGCUGCGAUAAGCCUAGAUAAGUUGCAAUCGAACGUAAGAGUCUAGGAUUUCCGAAUGGAGCAAUCUAUUAAGAUGGAGUCUUAAUACGAAAGAGGGAACCACGUGAACUGAAACAUCUAAGUAACGUGAGGAAAAGAAAGUAAAAACGAUACCCAAAGUAGCGGCGAGCGAACUGGGUCAAGCCUAAACCUUAAAUAUGUCAAGGAUACAGCCGUUGUAUUUAAGGGGUUGAGGGACAAAGUAGUGAAGAACUGUAAGAUAUUCAAUAUAGUGUAUUGAUGAAUUAGAAUUGUAUGGAAAGAUAAACCGCAGAAGGUGAGAGUCCUGUAUAAGUAAAUCCUUACACAUAUAACUUUGCUCCCAAGUAACAUGGAACACGAGGAAUUCUGUGUGAAUCAGUGAGGACCAUAUCUCAUAAGGCUAAAUACUCU
rnacentral:rRNA from 1 species